rnacentral:rRNA from 1 species
AAUCAACGCUGGCGGCGCGCUUAACACAUGCAAGUCGCACGAGAAAGGGAGCAAUCCUGAGUAGAGUGGCGCACGGGUGAGUAACACGUGGAUGAUCUACCUCCUUGUGGGGAAUAACCCUGGGAAACCGGGGCUAAUACCGCAUACGUCCGAGAGGAGAAAGCCGAAAGGCGCAGGGAGAGGAGUCCGCGGUCGAUUAGCUAGUUGGCAGGGUAAUGGCCUACCAAGGCGACGAUCGAUAGCCGGCCUGAGAGGGCACACGGCCACACUGGCACUGAAACACGGGCCAGACUCCUACGGGGGGCAGCAGUGGGGGAUCUUGCGCUAAUGCGCGAAAGCGUGACGCAGCGACGCCGCGUGGGGGAUGAAGGCCCUCGGGUUGUAAACCCCUUUCGGCAGGGACGAAGCGAAGGUGACGGUACCUGCAGAAGAAGUCCCGGCUAACUACGUGCCAGCCGCCGCCGUAAUAC